ACCUAGACUACCUACGCUGAUCUUACGGACUCCCUCCAAGUGCGAAUGCACCUACCAACUACUAUAAAUUAACUGAUAAUAGAUGUAAAACACCCAAAGAGUUUUAGGAUCCUAGUUAGCCCCCCAAGCUAACUGCUCACCGCGUGGCACCUAGACUACCUACGCUGAUCUUACGGACUCCCUCCAAGUGCGAAUGCACCUACCAACUACUAUAAAUUAACUGAUAAUAGAUGUAAAACACCCAAAGAGUUUUAGGAUCCUAGUUAGCCCCCCAAGCUAA